AACGAACGCUGGCGGCAUGCCUAACACAUGCAAGUCGAACGAGACCUUCGGGUCUAGUGGCGCACGGGUGCGUAACGCGUGGGAACCUGCCCUUAGGUUCGGAAUAACUCCCCGAAAGGGGUGCUAAUACCGGAUAAUGUCUUCGGACCAAAGAUUUAUCGCCUUUGGAUGGGCCCGCGUUGGAUUAGCUAGUUGGUAGGGUAAAAGCCUACCAAGGCGACGAUCCAUAGCUGGUCUGAGAGGAUGAUCAGCCACACUGGGACUGAGACACGGCCCAGACUCCUACGGGAGGCAGCAGUGGGGAAUAUAGGACAAUGGGCGAAAGCCUGAUCCAGCAAUGCCGCGUGAGUGAUGAAGGCCGUAGGGUUGUAAAGCUCUUUUACCCGGGAUGAUAAUGACAGUACCGGGAGAAUAAGCUCCGGCUAACUCCGUG
rnacentral:rRNA from 1 species